CACUUAUCAAGAAAGACCGAGGGACUGGGCCCGUUGACGUCUUGGCAACAUAUCCAAAGCCGCAAUACUGGAUGUUGUGCCAACUCCCAUUCUGAAUGAAUCAUCAUUUAGAAAAAGAUAGGUU
rnacentral:ncRNA from 1 species